rnacentral:rRNA from 1 species
UACAGAGGGGGCAAGCGUUGUUCGGAAUUACUGGGCGUAAAGGGCGCGUAGGCGGCCUGUUAAGUCGAACGUGAAAUCCCCGGGCUCAACCCGGGAACUGCGUCCGAUACUGGCAGGCUUGAAUCCGGGGAGAGGGAUGCGGAAUUCCAGGUGUAGCGGUGAAAUGCGUAGAUAUCUGGAGGAACACCGGUGGCGAAGGCGGCAUCCUGGGACCGCAUUGACGCUGAGGCGCGAAAGCCAGGGGAGCAAACGG